UACGUAGGGUGCAAGCGUUGUCCGGAAUUAUUGGGCGUAAAGAGCUCGUAGGCGGUUUGUCGCGUCUGCUGUGAAAACUCGGGGCUUAACCCCGGGCCUGCAGUGGGUACGGGCAGACUAGAGUGCGGUAGGGGGAGACUGGAAUUCCUGGUGUAGCGGUGAAAUGCGCAGAUAUCAGGAGGAACACCGAUGGCGAAGGCAGGUCUCUGGGCCACUACUGACGCUGAGAAGCGAAAGCAUGGGGAGCGAACAGG
rnacentral:rRNA from 1 species